GCCCAUAUAGCUCAGUCGGUAGAGCAUCACUUUUAAUCUGAAAAUCCAGGGUUCAUGUCCCAGUUUGGGUG